AUACGGAGGGUCCAAGCGUUAUCCGGAAUCAUUGGGUUUAAAGGGUCCGCAGGCGGUCAAUUAAGUCAGAGGUGAAAGCCCAUCGCUCAACGAUGAAACUGCCUUUGAUACUGGUUGACUUGAGUUAUACGGAAGUAGAUAGAAUAAGUAGUGUAGCGGUGAAAUGCAUAGAUAUUACUUAGAAUACCGAUUGCGAAGGCAGUCUACUACGUAUAUACUGACGCUGAGGGACGAAAGCGUGGGGAGCGAACAGGAUUAGAAACCCUAGUAGUCC
rnacentral:rRNA from 1 species